rnacentral:tmRNA from 1 species
GGGGCUGUUCUGGUUUUGACAGCGUAUGACAUUGGACGGUAAGCACGCCGGGCGUCGGAGGUUUGCCCGUAAAUCUCAGCUUCCGAAGAAUUAGUUGGCAACAACAAUUAUGCACUCGCUGCGUAGUCUACCAAGUAGCCUCGCUUAAUCGCCGGACGCCAAGGUUGCGUCUGCGACGAGUAUCCCUCAGGGCUUUAGGCCGGUUAUGUCCUGAAUACGGGGUAUCAUCCAAACCGGAUGCACGGGAGGAUUCCUCUAAAUCCCGCCAAGACUCAAGGGGAUAAGUCCUGGUUGGCCUGUCUUUCGGCAGAUCAGGAUCGAAAACCAAAGAUGGACUAAGCGUGUAGAAAGCUGCCUGGUGCUGCGUUUGGACGGCGGUUCGAGUCCGCCCAGCUCCAC